CAGUAGCCGCGGGAAUACAGAGGGUGCGAGCGUUAAUCGGAUUUACUGGGCGUAAAGCGUGCGUAGGCGGCUUUUUAAGUCGGAUGUGAAAUCCCUGAGCUUAACUUAGGAAUUGCAUUCGAAACUGGGAAGCUAGAGUAUGGGAGAGGAUGGUAGAAUUCCAGGUGUAGCGGUGAAAUGCGUAGAGAUCUGGAGGAAUACCGAUGGCGAAGGCAGCCAUCUGGCCUAAUACUGACGCUGAGGUACGAAAGCAUGGGGAGCAAACAGGAUUAGAUACCCCCGUAGUCCCUGUCUCUUAUAC
rnacentral:rRNA from 1 species